GCUGCCGAAGCAGAGCUCGCGAACUUAACCACUCGGCCACGGGGCCGGCCCCCACUGUGUUUUUAAUUUGCAUUUUCCUGAUGAUUACUGAUGUUGAGUAUCUUUUCAUAUGCCUGCUGGCCAUGUGUGGUCUUCUUUGACAGUCCCGGUACAUGCUGCUUCCAACCCUACAGAGGGACUCCAUCUCUGUUACAAACCUGACUUCACUCUGAAGAACUCCACACAAGAAUUGGGCUGGUGAAAGAGAGACUGUGAACCACAAAAGAGGAGAACAGAAAGAUGUCUGGAAAGAUCUGAAUCAGAAUGUUAAUGGCAGCCGCUUCUCUGAGGAAAAAAAAAAUUGAAGCCCAAAUAAGCAACUUACCCGAGGACCCACGACAGCAUCAAGAGUAUUGAUGUCCCAAUUGUCCCAAAUGAAAUUCAACAAGGAAAAGAAAAGUAAGAAUGGGUUCUGGAAGCAGAUAAGGGAUGUGUCAUCUUCUUGGACUAAAGGGAAGGGAAAAUGUAGUAUUUCCAGGCAAAGAAGGUAUUUUGAGUCUUGUGCCCAGAACUGGCUCUAGAAAUCUGAUUUGUG
rnacentral:lncRNA from 1 species